GGAGCCUGCCCCGUGCAGAUUCUCCCGGCGCUCACUUUGGAAUCAUGCGUCAGGACUUCGAUCACCCUGACGUAAAUACAAUGGCGGGAUGCCGCCGCCUUCGUUUCUCUUUCUCGUCAUCACGCACGCUUCCAUUCGGGCCUGUAGCUCAGGUGGUUAGAGCGCACGCCUGAUAAGCGUGAGGUCGGUAGUUCAACUCUACCCAGGCCCACCAAUUUCGCAUUGGCGGUACCGGUGAGCUUGGGGAGGUGCUGGAUCUUGUUUGUCGUUCGGUCAUGCUGGUCAUGGUCGGCCUGCAGGCAACGACCCGGUUUCGGGGCCAUAGCUCAGCUGGGAGAGCGGUAGCUUUGCAAACUUCAGGUCGUCGGUUCGAUCCCGACUGGCUCCACCAUUCCUCCAUCGUUGGUCGAUUGACCGUUGCGUGACAGACAGAGAGUACAAGUUCCGCCCAUUCGUGGCGGCAACCGGCCGAUCGGCCGUAGACGAAAGUCCGACAUCGUGAAGAGGAGAUAUGCCGAAACAGUACCCGGUAACGUGGGUGCUGGCCGUUUUGGCGGGAUCAUGCGACCGCGUGAUCAUCGGUUUAUCUUGAAACGCUGGUCUUUCUAACGAUGCCAGCCCGUACCGAGCGGAAGCGCGCGCAGGAUUGGAUCCUCCGUACGCGUCUGUGGGUGGGCAUUGUUAAUGAGAACAAUCAAGUGACCUAAGGGCAUUUGGUGGAUGCCUUGGCGGUAAGAGGCGAUGAAGGACGUGGUACGCUGCGAAAAGCUACGGGGAGGUGCGAACACCCUUUGAUCCGUAGAUAU
rnacentral:misc_RNA from 1 species